UACGAAGGGGGGCUAGCGUUGCUCGGAAUCACUGGGCGUAAAGCGCACGUAGGCGGCUUUUUAAGUCAGAGGUGAAAUCCUGGAGCUCAACUCCAGAACUGCCUUUGAUACUGGAGAGCUUGAGUCCGGGAGAGGUGAGUGGAACUGCGAGUGUAGAGGUGAAAUUCGUAGAUAUUCGCAAGAACACCAGUGGCGAAGGCGGCUCACUGGUCCGGUACUGACGCUGAGGUGCGAAAGCGUGGGGAGCAAACAGGG
rnacentral:rRNA from 1 species